rnacentral:rRNA from 1 species
UACGUAGGCAGCAAGCGUUGUUCGGAAUUACUGGGCGUAAAGAGUGUGUAGGCGGUGCUCUAAGUUUGGUGUGAAAUCUCCCGGCUCAACUGGGAGGGUGCGCCGAAAACUGGAAUGCUUGAACAUGGGAGAGGAAAGCGGAAUUCCUGGUGUAGCGGUGAAAUGCGUAGAUAUCAGGAGGAACACCUGAGGUGAAGACGGGUUGCUGGGCUGACACUGACGCUGAGGCGCGAAAGCUAGGGGAGCAAACGGG